rnacentral:rRNA from 1 species
GGAGUUUGGACCGUGUCUCAGUUCCAAUGUGGGGGAUCCUCCUCUCAGAGCCCCUACCGAUCGUCGCCUUGGUGGGCCGUUACCCCGCCAACAAGCUAAUCGGACGCAUCCUCAUCCGUUACCGAUGAAUCUUUAUUCACAACGCCAUGCGGCGGUGUGAAGCCAUCGGGUAUUAAUCUUUCUUUCGAAAGGCUAUCCCCGGGUAACGGGCAGAUUGGAUACGUGUUACGCACCCGUGCGCCGGUCGCCAUCAAAGUCAGCAAGCUGACCUCAUGCUGCCCCUCGACUUGCAUGUGUUAAGCCUGUAGCUAGCGUUCAUC